GGGGUAGAAGCACAAAGGCUGUGCGCUUGAUUGUCGAUCAAGAAGGUGCGGGUUCGAUUCCCGUCUAUCCCG
rnacentral:tRNA from 1 species